CUUAUUUAGACCAUUAGAGAUGCAUGCUUGGUUGAAAUAAACCGCGGGAUAAAUGACCCUCGAGAGAAAAAUAAUUUGUUUUUCAAAUAUCAGUGAAAAACAUAUAAAUCCUUAAUCAUCUAAUUAACUUCUUCCGUAUCAGCUGAAUAAAUUGUGCGUAAUUAAACUCUUUCAUUUAUGCAGCAAAAAAAUUUUGUUAUUUGGACUGGAAUUAUACAUCAAGACCUUAAAGCACGUAAACGUUCUUGUAAGUUGUCAUCUUCUACAGGAGCGGCGGGAGUAGGAACACUGGCAGCAGGAACCGAAAGAUUAUUGUUCAUAUUCUGGUUAAAUUCCAAACCAGCUUCAUCAGCUACCGUUUGCAUUAAUAAAUCUACAUCUUCUUGGGGUGUAUCGACAGCAGUCACUGAUCCCAUAGCCUUAUAUAGUGUUAGUUCUAGUCUUGAAAUAUGAUUAAUCAAGGAAACUUACCUUAUUCAUAUAACCCGUUUGAACAUUAACAUCAUCGAAUUGCGCUUCAAAUUUAUCCAUGACUUGUGAAAUCUGUGGGUCAGAAACAUUUGAAAAAAAACUCAUUCUACGAGAAUUAGGAACUCACCAUCUCCAAAUUCAUUGUUUUCAUAGCUCUGUCCAUUCCCCGAACGACACCUGCCAUAUUUCCCGACACCUAAAUAGUCAAUAAGUAUGCCACGUUAAAUUGCUAACAUACAGCACGCAUAGUUACAGCAGUCUGUAAACGACUUGAAACCGCAUCUAUUCUUGAAGAAAGUUUGAGCAAAUUAAGGGAUUCUUGCUGCUUCCGAAUUGCAUUCGAUGCAUAUAUGCGGGCAAUUUCUGAGUUGCCUUUUGUGAUAGCCUAGGUAAUAACAGUUAGUAAUGAAUAACGCCAAAAAGUAAAAAAAAAUUUUUAUCUAGCAAAUCAUAUGAAGAUGGAAUAAUCGACAAAACCAAGACUCUGCAAAACCACCAAGAAUUACAAUAGCAAUUGAUAGAUGAGCUGUAAAAAAAUUCAUUGAUAGUGACAUGCUUGGAAAUAGCAAUCAUUACAACAAACAAACCUUUUUCACUUUUUCCCGUUCAGCACGCUCCUCUUUCGCAGCUUUAAGUGAUUGUUUAUUCAGCGACUUUGCAGCAAACUAACGCAUUGUUAAAAACAAACUUCAAUUAAGAAAAUACCUUUAAUUGAAACAGAGAUGCUUUCAGGUUAAUCAAUUAUCAAAAAAAUUACUUACUUACCC